AGACGGUCAACAUUAACAAUUUCUCAGAAAGUCUGAGCUGUUUAAUUUCUUGUUCCAAAUCAACCUGUGAUAGAGAGCUUUGGGGCCAUUGUCAAGAUGAACACAGGACUGGAGAAACAGCUCAGUGAGUUAAAGUGCUUGCCAUGCAAGCCUGAGGACCUAAGUCUGAGCCCCAGAACAUGCAUAGAAAAGGACCUACAUAAAAUUUGCCUCCUGCAUUAAGUCCUGCCUCAGUGACCUCAUCUGCCAAAACAAAAGCCAAGAGGGCAGGCAGAUGGACACAGAGCCUGAGCAGCCGUCCAGCAGGUGGGCCUUCUCACAUGGUCUGCUCCAUCCCAUGUUAGUGGGAGCUGUUUAGCUAGUAAGUAAUUUCUAUGUCUUCACCUAUUUCUUCAUUA